GAUGAACGCUGGCGGCGUGCCUAAUACAUGCAAGUCGAGCGAACAGACGAGGAGCUUGCUCCUCUGACGUUAGCGGCGGACGGGUGAGUAACACGUGGAUAACCUACCUAUAAGACUGGGAUAACUUCGGGAAACCGGAGCUAAUACCGGAUAAUAUAUUGAACCGCAUGGUUCAAUAGUGAAAGACGGUUUUGCCGUCACUUAUAGAUGGAUCCGCGCCGCAUUAGCUAGUUGGUAAGGUAACGGCUUACCAAGGCAACGAUGCGUAGCCGACCUGAGAGGGUGAUCGGCCACACUGGAACUGAGACACGGUCCAGACUCCUACGGGAGGCGGCAGUAGGGAAUCUUCCGCAAUGGGCGAAAGCCUGACGGAGCAACGCCGCGUGAGUGAUGAAGGUCUUCGGAUCGUAAAACUCUGUUAUUAGGGAAGAACAAAUGUGUAAGUAACUAUGCACGUCUUGACGGUACCUAAUCAGAAAGCCACGGCUAACUACGUG
rnacentral:rRNA from 1 species